ACCCCGGUAUUCGCGUUCUCUUAUGGUGAUAGAGCGAUGUAUCGAGGAAGCCGGUGAGAUUCCGGGACGGUCGCGCCGCCGUGAGGAGUUUGUCGGAACUCCGAGUCGGACCCUCGGAGUGUCGUAUGCAGUAGU
rnacentral:ncRNA from 2 species